GACGAACGCUGGCGGCGUGCUUAACACAUGCAAGUCGAACGAUGAACCGGGUGCUUGCACUUGGGGAUUAGUGGCGAACGGGUGAGUAACACGUGAGUAACCUGCCCUGGACUCUGGGAUAACCCCGAGAAAUCGGAGCUAAUACCGGAUAGGACCUUUCCCCGCAUGGGGUUUGGUGGAAAGUUUUUCGGUCUGGGAUGGACUCGCGGCCUAUCAGCUUGUUGGUGAGGUAAUGGCUCACCAAGGCGUCGACGGGUAGCCGGCCUGAGAGGGUGACCGGCCACACUGGGACUGAGACACGGCGCAGACUCCUACGGGAGGCAGCAGUGGGGAAUAUUGCACAAUGGGCGCAAGCCUGAUGCAGCAACGCCGCGUGCGGGAUGACGGCCUUCGGGUUGUAAACCGCUUUUAGUAGGGAAGAAGGGCUUCGGCUUGACGGUACCUGCAGAAAAAGGACCGGCUAACUACGUGCCAGCCGCCGCGGUAAGAC
rnacentral:rRNA from 1 species